GCGAUUUCAAAUACAAAGAACUAGAAGUAACGGCUCCUUUCCUCAAAGAAAGAAACAACCGCUGCGCAAGCCGCGAUGCUUAAGAGUCUAUUGUAAUUUGUGGGACGAAAUGGAGACUACAAACACAAGAAAAUCCAGUAUGACUUCUCUAAAA